rnacentral:rRNA from 1 species
CCCUUAGAUGUUCUGGGCCGCACGCGCGCUACAAUGAUGAAUUCAACGAGUUUAUAACCUUGGUUGAAAAGCCUGGGUAAUCUUUUGAACUUUCGUCGUGAUGGGGCUAGACCCUUGCAAUUAUUGGUCUCCAACGAGGAAUUCCUAGUAAACGCAAGUCAUCAGCUUGCAUUGAUUACGUCCCUGCCCUUUGUACACACCGCCCGUCGCACCUACCGAUUGAAUGGUCCUGUGAAAUCUUCGGAUUGAGACUUUGUUUUCUUCACGGAAAACGCUGUUUUAAAAAGUUGAUUAAACCUUACCAUUUAGAGGAAGGUGAAGUCGUAACA